UACGGAGGGUGCAAGCGUUGUCCGGAAUCAUUGGGCGUAAAGCGCACGUAGGCGGCUCUUUAAGUCUCUUGGUGAAAGGCUGGGGCUCAACCCCAUGCAUGCCGGGGAUACUGGGGGGCUUGAGACAGGUAGAGGCCAGCGGAAUUCCGGGUGUAGCGGUGGAAUGCGUAGAGAUCCGGAAGAACACCGGAGGCGAAGGCGGCUGGCUGGACCUGAUCUGACGCUGAGGUGCGAAAGCGUGGGGAGCGAACAGG
rnacentral:rRNA from 1 species